AAAAAAAAGCGCCGCAGGCGAAAAAUUUGGAAUAAAAAAUCGUCUAUGCUGUCCACAGUAUUUUUGCGUAAAACUUUCUUCUGCGUAGGCGGCCUUCGGCCGCACUUCAAAAAAAUAACCCUCAUCAGUCCAACUCCGGCUAGGCAAUCCACAGUAUUUUUGCGUAGUACUCCUUUUCGCGUAGGAAUUUUACGUGAAGCUGAACUGUAUUUCGAAAAUCAUAUCGAUAUUGUAUUUAUAUAUAUUUAUGAACUCAAUAUAUACACCUUAGAGGUUGUAAACCCCCAUUCCCUCAUUAUUCUAACAAAAAAGAGUGUGGAAAUUAUGUUCCUAUGUUGCUUCGUUUUCAAUCGCAUUCUAUUUUUUUAUUAUUUUUUGCUUCUGGCAGCACUCCAUUCAGCCAUGCUUUUCAGUUAUUGUAAAUUUAGCUGGGGCGUCAAGUGUUUGCAAGUUAUAAAUGCAAUUUAAAUUGUUAAUUUAUGGUAUAUAUCAAUAAAAAGAGUUAAAAACGUGUGUGUAUGUUAAUGUAGUUUGAAUAUUUAUUAAAAUAAAUGUGAUAAGUGCACUUAUUGUAUCAAAAUUUGGUGAAGGUAAAAGACAAAUUUUAUCAACAAAUAACUUAAAAACUAUUAUUAACUGAAUAGUGUUGGUGCUAGUUUUAGCAAAAUAAGCUCGAAAUCAACAUCUCCUGUGAAUUUCAUUGGAAAAUUCGUAAUAUUUCUCUCAAAACAAGUGAGGGGAUACUGCAUGGAGUCGGAGCCCCUUUCGGUUUUGCGUGUGAAUAAAGGCUAGAUAACAAGUGCGUAAAAAUUCCACAGGUGCGCGUUACCAAUGACGGCAAUUUAGUGAAUCGACCACCCACAAGAAAUCCUUGGACCACGGCAAAGAAGGAGCGCCAUCAGAAUUUACGUAUGGAGCUCGCAUUUGGAUCAUCAUGGAACGAAAUAUUAUAUUUUAAUUAAAUUUUUAUUUAUAUUAAAGGCAUCAUCAACAUAUGUGACCAUUGUGAACGCUGAAAAGGAGCAGUUUGCUGCAGCGCAGAAAAAACUGAAGUGACUACGACCAUCCCAUGUUGAAGCUAUCUGGGAUAUCGCCAACUGGAAGGAUAUCUUUAAUCACCUCGUUGCCGCUGCUAAGAGAUGUUUGUGUCAUCCAAGCUUUAAUUGACCUAGAGAAAAAUGGGGAAAAUUGUAACGCACGAAUUGCAUCCCGGUAGGAAAGCUCGCGCGGUUACCGACCACAACCAACUGGUGUAUCCACUACAUGGCUUACUUCCAUAUGAACACACAAAUCCGCGAACAGACGCAGGCCUUUAACUGUAGUUUUUGCGUUACAUAUUCAAAAGUGUUUGUUACUAUAAUUCGGAUUAUGUUAUCGUUUUUCAAACAUUCUCCUUUAUGUACAAAAUAAUGUGGUUUACUUUCGCAGUUUUUCUCAUUAGGGUUGUGCAAUUUAUUAUGUUUUGUAGUUUUAGAAAACUGUGAUAAAAAAUUUACAAAUUGUUGUAGUUAAAUUCCAAGAUAUAAUUAUAUGGGGCUAAUAUAAUAAUUUCACUUUUCCCUAAUAUGGUUUUUGUACCAGUGAAAUAAAAUUUAUGUAAAUAUAUUAGCAUUGUCGUAAUGUAAUAUUAUAUUUGUGUAUUUUACACGUAUAUUAAUGCUAAUGGAAUAUCUGGGACUAUGUUGUAUGUGCAUAAGUAUAAAGGCGAAAUUCAAUAAACUGAAUAUAAUCAAUG